rnacentral:tRNA from 1 species
AUGGGAGUAGUGUAGUGGAAACAUAAGUGGUUUGGGACCAUUUGUUGGGAGUUCGAUUCUCUCCUCCUGUACCA